GAUGAACGCUGGCGGCGUGCCUAAUACAUGCAAGUCGAGCGAACGGACGAGAAGCUUGCUUCUCUGAUGUUAGCGGCGGACGGGUGAGUAACACGUGGAUAACCUACCUAUAAGACUGGGAUAACUUCGGGAAACCGGAGCUAAUACCGGAUGAUAUUUUGAACCGCAUGGUUCAAACGUGAAAGACGGUCUUGCUGUCACUUAUAGAUGGAUCCGCGCUGCAUUAGCUAGUUGGUAAGGUAACGGCUUACCAAGGCAACGAUGCAUAGCCGACAUGAGAGGGUGAUCGGCCACACUGGAACUGAGACACGGUCCAGACUCCUACGGGAGGCAGCAGUAGGGAAUCUUCCGCAAUGGGCGAAAGCCUGACGGAGCAACGCCGCGUGAGUGAUGAAGGUCUUCGGAUCGUAAAACUCUGUUAUUAGGGAAGAACAUAUGUGUAAGUAACUGUGCACAUCUUGACGGUACCUAAUCAGAAAGCCACGGCUAACUACGUG
rnacentral:rRNA from 1 species